rnacentral:rRNA from 1 species
AUUGAACGCUGGCGGCAUGCCUAACACAUGCAAGUCGCACGCGAAAGGGGGCAACCCGAGUAGAGUGGCGGACGGGUGCGUAAUACGUAGGAAUCUACCUGAGUAGUCGGGGGGACAACCCGGGCGAAAGCCGGGCUAAUACCGCGAUACGGACCUAUGGGUGAAAGCCGGGGACCGCAAGGCCUGGCGCUAUUAGAUGAGCCUGCGUCGGAUUAGCUAGUUGGUGAGGUAAAGGCUACCAAGGCGACGAUCCGUAGCUGGUCUGAGAGGACGACCAGCCACACUGGGACU